AGUUUGCGUGAAAGGAGAGGUUAGCAUUCUCCUUGAUAAGAACGGAAGAGGUCCUAGUAAGCUUUAUGAUACAUAUACAGUUAAGGAAUUGCCACUUACUCUGUGAAAUCUAACCAUGUAAUGCU